GCACAGGUGGCGCAGCUGGUAGCGCAUCCGCCUGAUAUGCGGGAGGUCGUGGGUUCAACUCCCUCCCUGUGCACCA
rnacentral:tRNA from 1 species